UUUUUUUUUGUAACAGAUUGUACCUUACAUUUUUUUCUUUUUUUUAAUAUACUGUACCUUACAUCUCCCAGCCAGCUUGCUGGAAGCAGAACAAAAUUUGUCCAGCUCUGAAGCAAAAUGAAUGAAUGAAUGCUCCCUCAGCAGCUGCUCUCUCUCUCUCUACACAUAACCAUGCUUUUCGUGGUUAUUCAACAAGCGCCUGCCAGUAGGCAGCGAAAAACGAACGGAACAGGAAUUCAUCCACAGUUCUAAAUACAAACUCUCAAUGAAACAAGAGGAUUGAAGCUCAGCCCAUCGGCGGAGCGCGUUGGUUGCCACAGCAUCACCGGAGGCACGAGUCGUCACGACAUCCCCACCGCGUAGAGCGCCGCAUCGGGUUGGUAGUAUCUUGUAUCCGUUAUCUUCGACGGUGGCCAGUACCGGAACACGGAUCUCCCAAGUAUGUUCCUCACCGGGAGCGGCCCCCUGAAACAUCACAGAUCACAAAGAAAUCAUACCUGGAUUCUAAUAUGUAGCUGAAGCUUUGGUUGAAAAUGGAGCUCGGUUCGGAGCAUACCAGUUAUGGGAGUCCAAGCUGUUGUUACGGUUGUCUCCCAGCACAAACACAUACCCUUCCGGUACAAGCUGCAAGGAUAACAGCAGCGAUUAGUUCGCCGAAAUCGGAAAGGCUGACAUCUCUAUAGGCAUUGUCAUGUAUGAAUAUGCAAGGAGAUAUGCAACGCUGGGUGAGAUAUUCUCUGCUACUAGUGGGCCGGUAUGCGGCGCAAUUGAUACUUUUAAUGCCAAAUUCAUUCCAAAAUUUCAGAUUCUGUUUGCUUUGAGCAAAAAUCAAACAUUUCAAUGGGAUCAUGUCAGCUAAGGCUCCUUUUGUCAUCGCAGUGGCUUUCAUAAGCACUUAUUUAUGUAUAUUCGCUCGCAGGUAUAACAGUUGGUUUGGAAGAUAUCUUCUUUAGACAUUAACAGAAAAAUCUUACUUGCAGUAGUAAAUAUUAUCCUAACUAAUUCCAGGUCCCAGAAUUCAGCUCAAUUCAGCACAGCAACCGCAAAAAAGCCUAAAUAUUCAAAGAUCAUAUAAUGUACAAUGAUGGCACAGCUCACAGCGUACAAAAUACGUAGUGGUAGAGACACUAGAGACUAGACAUAGAAGAUAAACAUACCAAUGGUUCCAUCUCAUAGUUGUGUGCCUCCAGCACAAAUUCUUCAUCUUGAAGUACCCCGUUGACCAGUAACUUGCCAUCACGCACCUAUCAAAGAACCAAGUGAACAACUGUUAUAGCUCGGCUCGAGCAAAGAAUCAAACUUUUUUGCAGCACAGCAAUUACUAGUAGCAACGUAGAAAAACAAACAUAAGGCACUACCAUUGGGAUAAAGGCUUACUUCGACGUAGUCCCCUCCCUUGGCCACAACCCUCUUGAUGAACACAUCACCGGAGCUGUAGCCCAUAUCCUGCCAUAAGAUUGCAUUCAAAUUAGCAUCAAAUUCACCAGUAUGAAUCAUGGAAACACUAAAUUGGAGAGACUGGAAAUCAUCAUACCUGAAGAGCUGGGGGAGCACGGAAGAUGACAAUGUCCAAGAUUUCUGGUUCCCGGAAUACAUAUGACACCUACAGAUCACAUUAUCACAGCAAAGAUCAGAAACCAGGUAGCAAAACACCAAAUUAAUCAUCAGAUAGCAAUCCUCCCAAAAUGUUUUACCUUCUCAGCGAGAAUCCGAUCACCAACAUCGAAGGUGGGGUACAUGGACUUGGACGGGAUGGACCUCGGCUCGGCAAGGGAGGAGCUGUAGAGAAGCGGCACGGUAACGGCGGCGAAGGCCGUCUUGGCGUCGUCGGAGCACGAGCUCACCCACUUGGACAGCCAGUUGCUCCUGCUCAUUGUGGCACUAGCACCGAUGUUCCGGGCAAUCGCGCCAGAAGCAGAAGCGGAAGCUCCGGCGGUUGGAACACCGCUGAACGUCUUCCUGGAGGGACGGAUCGAAGGCAGCGGCGGCGUGGGAGGAGGGGACGAUGGCGCCGAAGACGACGAGGGGGCAAGGUCGCUGCAGGGGAGCCACCUCGCGGUCUGCAAGAACGGGAGGAGGUGCGCCGGGUUGAACAGCCCGAUCGAAAUCGACGACGAGCCGGCCAGAGACGCGGCGCCGGAGAUCCCAGCCGUCGACGACCCCGCCGUCGAACCCUGGGCGAGCACCGACAGCAAUCCCACGGCGAGAGGCGGCGGCGGCGGCUUGGACGAAGAGUAGGGCCUCGAAGGGAACAGAGAGUGGCUUCCGGAGACGGCGGCGGUGGCGGCGAGGGCCUGGGGCUUGGGGUGAUUGUGGUCGUCGGCGGCGUCAUGGCGGUCACCGCCGCUGGCCGGGAGGCGCUCGGACUGGUGGCGAGAGGAGGUGAAGAUGCAGAAGGGGCGCCACGACCCCUCCUGGAGGAAGCGGCACCCGGCGGAGGCCGAGGACCCGCAGCGGAGGCCGAGCGACGCAGCGAGGCUCUGCGCCACGUAGCCGGAGUAGGAGACGGUGAUGCGAAUCGCCAUGGCGAGCAAGCAGAGGAGCCGUAGUGUUACCGAGAAGAGCUGGAUUGGGCGGUCGGGGGAGAACGACCAACGGGGGACGCGAUCGGCUACUGAUUGUAGACCAUACCGGCGGGGCGGCUGGGCGGGGAUGGCGAGGCCGCGGCGAGCCGGGGGAGAGGCCGGUGGGUCGGGCGGUGGUGGCUCGGGGGAGGUGCGGAGGGGUCAGGCGGCGGCGGGGUUAGCUCCCGGCGAGUCGGCCUCGCCGGAGGGGCGAGGUCAACGGCGGCGGUCAAUGGGGUAGGCGGCGGUGUGGGUGUUGUGGGGGAGGGAAAGCGCGAGGCCGACGGGCGGGUGGUGUAUAUAAACGCGUGCGCGCUCACUGUUGACGGUGAGGUAGACAUCCCCUGGCUAUUUUUGAGAAUUUUCCCGGCAAUAUUGGAAAUGGGCUCAACGAUAGAGGAAAAGAAGUGAGAAAUGAGCAAACUUAUUAGAGCAUCUCCAACAGCCGCGCUAUAGCGCCGCGCGCAAAAAACCUUUUAGCGCGCGCGCUGCGGCUGGUUUUGCGCGCCCGCCUGCGCUGGCUCCGGCAGCCGCGCUGAAAUACAGCGCGCGCGACUCGCCGGGCAUUUUACAUAUAUGGAUAUUUUGGACAAAAUGAACAUGUAAAAUUUGACACAAACAAGUUGAUGAAUAAAAGUUCAUGCCCACAAGUUCAUCAAAAUCAUGCCCACAAGUUUAUCCAACCAAGUUCAAAUGCAAACUAAAAGUCCAAGACAUGAAAGACACAUCAAGCUUCAUCUUCAUCUUCUUCUUCUUCGUCUUCGUCCUCAUCUUCCGAAGACGACUCUUCCGCCUCCGAAGAUGAACCUUCCUCCCUAUCCUCAUCACGCACCGCAUCACGCACCGCAUCAUGUGAAGCUCCGACGGUGUUGGCAAGAUCUUCAACGGCAUCUUCAUGGGAAUGUGUGUGAGAAGCCAUGGCGGCCGGAGGUGCACCCAUGGCGGCGGGAGGUGCACCCAUGCCUCCCAUGAGAGAAGCAAAACUCAUGCCUCCCAUGGCGGCCAUAGCGUCGGACGGUGCUCCAAAGCCACCCAUGCCUCCCAUGGCGGCCGGAGGUGCACCCAUGCCUCCCAUAGCGGCCAUAGCGUCGGAGGGCGCUCCAAAGCCACCCAUGCCUCCCAUGGCGGCCGGAGGUGCACCCAUGUCUCCCAUGCCUCCAAAGCCACCAAUGCCUCCCAUGGCGCCGAGGCCACUGCCUCCCAUGGCGCCGAGGCCACCGCCUCCCAUGGCGCCGAGGCCACCCAUGCCUCCCAUGGCGCCGAGGCCACCGCCUCCCAUGGCGGCGGGGGGGUCGCGGAUGUACAGCGGGGUGAGCGGGGCGCCGGUGUGCGCGUCCAUGGCGGGGGGCAGGGCGCCGGCGCCGGCGCGCGCGGGGCGUAGGACGAGGAGAGGGAGAGAGUGCGGGCGCGAGCGCUCGAGUGUGCCGCGCGCUGUAGCUGGCGCUCCAAAUACACCGCGCGGAUAAGUGUUUUUGACCGCGCGCCCAACCCGUUAUCGCGCGCGCGCCGUUUUUGCGCGCCCGCUGGAGCGAGCCGCCGCGUUGCGCGCGCGCUAAAAAGGCCUAUUUUGCGGCGCGACGCUAGUUUAGCGCGGCUGUUGGAGAUGCUCUUAGUACUAAUAACUGAAUAUUAUACCGAACUUUUGGUUCUAAUAACCGUAGGAAGGUACAUUUGCACUAUGCAAAACCACGAGGAGAAAUAAUAUGGAUGUCUUUGCAAUGGCCGAGAAACGUAAGAAAGCAAGAAAACACAAUAAUUUGAAAGGGAAUGCAACGUAAAGCGGACAACUGCAAAAUAUGAAAAGUUGAUUAGAGUAACUCUUGUAGAGUCAUGGUAUGAGCUGUCAUCAUAAUGCAUAUGAAGUGCGCUCCAUUGGGCAUAUGGAGACCGUCUCUUGAACUAUUUUGAUUAUUAAUAAAAUGACUGUAUGCAUCGUUCUGAUGCAGAGGCCGGAACAAACCUUUUUUUUAAAGAAAAAAAUAUGGAGACCGUCAAGGUGAUGCGCAAACUCAGUGCCUUUUGUAUUGGUUGCAUCCGUAUCACGGGACUCAUUCAUUAAUGAAACAUCAUUUUCCUUCAUUCUCCCUUUGAUUCCCACGUGAAAUUUCCUUUGCGCCCAACAAUUGGGCUGGAUGGAGUGCGCCUCAAAGGUUGGCUCCGAGGCGUAAAUUUGGAGACUGAGAGGCCAGAUAUGGAGGGAGCUUCAUAAAUUACAAUGAUUCUGACAGGUAUGAUGAUUAUAUUUUCGUGAUUUUCUUUUUACCAAGAGCACAUUAGCAGUUAUUAUGACGAUUUGUCAAGUAUAGCGGCUCUAUUAGAUUUACUCUUAGACAAGACAAAAAAAUGUCUCAGAUACGUGCGGAUGGUGGAUAAUUUCUAUAGGAAGGUGGCAUAGGAAACCAAUUUAAAGGAAUACCGUUCAUUUGUCCAAAGGACAUUUAUCAACUUACCAUGACAUUUUCUAUCAUUUCCCAUGUUUCUGGGUUUUAUAGAAUUGCAAACCAUAAGGAAGCACAGGGGAGAAUGACGAGAUCGAGAUCCUUCGGAAGAAAGAAAAGAAUCCUCGAGCCACCGAACACUCCCCCGGUGGCCAGUUUGAAGCUGCCAUGGCCCAUGGAAAGGCGAUGGCGACUCGAGAAUUUAACGGGGCCAAAUUAGACCAGACAAGCGAGGCCGCGACUGCUGCCUCCCACCGCUACUUCUCAGGGAACGCCACUACAGAUAGCAUAGUACAAAUGUUUAUUUGUACCUCCGUUGAUGGUAACGUGAAGCAAUGUUUUAUGCAUAGUGGCUUCGUCGCUUUAUUACACCACGUGAUCCGUAUAGCUCCGCUGCUUCUCGGCAGCUUCCGCUGUCCCAGUGACAGUGAGUGAGGCCUGGCCAGUGAUUGGUUCGACACGGUGGCAUCGGAAUUGCUUCGACCGGAUAACUGGAACGGGGAAAACCGGGAGCAGCGCGUUCACAUGCAUGACCGCUGCUGCUAUCAUCUGGUGGCUGAGAAUACAAUAUGGAUAUGACCGUCGUGGAAAAAUAAACAGAAGCCGAGAAUUAUGUUGCUUUUUCAACCACCCCACUGUACUUACUUUUAUGUUUGACAUGCUGCCCCCAAAGGAUGCGAUGGUCAAACAACACAACAUGCGUGGCAAAAUUUCGUGUUUUGAUCCUUUUCGCGUAACAUUUCAGGAUCUGACCCCGGUUUGAAAUAUUUUCAGGAUUUGACCCUUUCGCUACCGUCAGGAAAGCUAGCGGUAGGGUUAUACAGCCUACCGCCAGGGACCCUGGCGGUAGGGUGCGACGGAGGGGGACGGUGGCCGUCUCCGCUUGCUGACGUGGAUUAGCACCAUACCGCCAGGGACCCUGGCGGUAGGCUGUCUAACCCCCCUGGCGGUAGGGUGUGCCAGGAUUUCUGCCUCGAAAACCUUCUGUAACGAAAAAUCCGAGUGCCCUGGCGGUAGAGUCAACCUACCGCCAUAGGGGUUGGCGGUAGGCUGUCUGACCCUAUCGCCAGGGUCCUUGGCGGUAGGGUCUUGCCUCUUUUCAAGUUCAAUUUAUUUCUUCUUUUCAAAAACAAUAGAUCUCAAACAAUGAUAUAGAGUCAAAAACAGCAAUAAUAUAGAGUCAAAAUAACCGAUUUCAAACAAUUAAACUUGGGCAUCACAUACACAUGUCAUACGGAGUUCCACAUAAACUUGUGCAUAAUAAGCAAAUGAAGUUCAACUACUUAGUUCCACAUAGCAAACGGAGUUUCAUAAAUAGCAAACACAUAGUUCAAAUAGCAAACACAUAUUUCACAACCACUAGACUUUUCAACUACAGCCAAGUAUCGAAUAGCAGAAUUUAAUUCAUCUUCCCCUCUUGCUCUUGGAGGCACGGUCAUCGUUUCUCUUUGAAUGAGUCUCUUCAAUGUUCUUCUUGGACCGUCGAGUAACCAGUCUUUGGAAAGGGUCCGGACUCAGCAAAUCCUUCUUAUUUGGAUUCCUCUUCGGCAGUUGAGAUGGUUGAGAUGCUUGAGUUGGUGGAGGUCCGUAAUCUUCAUCGUACUCCUCCUCCUCUCCUUCAUUUGUGGCCUCCUCCUCCUCCUCCUCCUCUUCCUCCUCCUCAACCAACCUAGACGACAAGGGACCAUGGCUCGAUGAGGCGAUGUGACCCUGUGUGGCUGCGGGAUGAUAAGCUUCAACCGACCCAGCUCCAGCACACCCAAGCAGGCCUACCAGCUUGCGACAACGCUUCACCAACUUCUGCACUCACAAUGAAACAAGGGCAUAAUAAGUAUCAGAUUUAUGAUUGCAAGUGAACAAGAUGCAUCUGUUCCGAGGAGGCUGAAAUUGUACCUUCAUCGUCCCCCUCAAUUUGUUCUCAGAUUGUACGCUCCCGGGGAUAUCACCUAGUGCACCAGAGGCGUCAAAGAUGCAUCUGUUCAGCUCACCGGACUGUAGAGGCAUAAGUCAGUCACGAUGAUGAAUAAAAUAAUUUAAAUACAACCGUCGGCUCAAACUUACCACUCUAUUGAUGAGGGGUGCAAACUCCCUAAAUCCACUAUGCAUGUCUCGGAUACCGGUCUGGUAGGCCUCUUCCUCGGGGUCAUCCCUCUCCAGCUCUGCGAUGUCUUCCACCUUCCACUGAGGCCUGAGACGAAUACGGUGCUUACGGCCAUCAUCGUACCACCUCAUGUGUUGGUCCUCUUAAGCAUUCCAGUCAAUCACUCUCCUCUCCACAUCUUUACUGGAGUUCCGUCGGUUCCACUCCGUCACAUGAGUUUUAUGCUCAUCUCCCCAGUCUGUGAACGACUGAUUCUUCUGCCGGCUCAUCGUGCAAGGCAUUAGCAACAAGAAACAUCAUAAAUAAAGCCGAACGCAAUGAAAUCAUGGGCACGAAGAACAAGCGCGGGCACUCACAAGUGGAGCGUGUGGCCGCCGGUAUCAAUCAGUGGGCCCGGUGGGGUAUGCUGAUACAUCCCAAACUGCACGGCCACGCGGUGUGGCAAGUGCCACUCGACAGCGUACACACAUAUCAUGGGCACGAUGCACCGCCAAAGAGCACGGUCCGCAUCGCACAUCACAUUCAGAUCGAAGUCCCACUCUCGAUCAUGAUACGGCCAUCAGUUUACCUAUUACAUAUACAUUGGUAAGUCCCCACUCUCGAUCAAAAGUGGAAUCAAAGAGAAAGGUGGUGAGCGAGUUCAUAUACCUUCAUAAUCGUAAAAGCGUCGAUCUCAUUGGUGUAGGCCUAGUAAGAAGUCUCGUUUAGGCCCGUGUAGAGUNNNNNNNNNNNNNNNNNNNNNNNNNNNNNNNNNNNNNNNNNNNNNNNNNNNNNNNNNNNNNNNNNNNNNNNNNNNNNNNNNNNNNNNNNNNNNNNNNNNNNNNNNNNNNNNNNNNNNNNNNNNNNNNNNNNNNNNNNNNNNNNNNNNNNNNNNNNNNNNNNNNNNNNNNNNNNNNNNNNNNNNNNNNNNNNNNNNNNNNNNNNNNNNNNNNNNNNNNNNNNNNNNNNNNNNNNNNNNNNNNNNNNNNNNNNNNNNNNNNNNNNNNNNNNNNNNNNNNNNNNNNNCGCUCCCACAUCCAAAUGGAGAGGCCCCAGACAAAGCCACCCAUGUUGCGUCGUCAAGCUGCAAAACAUCAAAUGAGGAUCAAAUAUAACAAAAUGUGAUGGACAUACUUUCGUAGGUAGGCAAUGAGAUACUCUCUUACCGAACGGUAUAGGUAGGCGAGAGAUGCGGUCCCCUAAUUGUACCCUGCAUCCCAGUCGGCUAGGAAGAACAGAUAUGACCAGUUGGCAGAGUUCCUGGAGCUAUCUGGAAACACAACCUCCGUGAGAAGAUACCAUAGGUAGGCCCUCGCAUACCACUCCACAGUCGCCUCAUCGGCGUCCUCGGUGCAUGUCUUCCGAUGCUCCGAGAGCCAGGGCAACGGCACACCGGAUGUACGGUUACCCUUAGCAUUGAGGCAGUCAUCGAUGAGGGUGGUAACCCUCUGCUUCCAGUUGGUCCUCUCCACUCGCCCGGUCAAUGCUUGACCAUUGAUCAACAUGGCAGUAAUCAUCGCUCAAUCCUCCAGGGUCACCAUCAUCUCCCCACAUGGGAGAUGGAAAGAAUGGGUCUCCGGUCGCCACCGGUCAAUCAAAGCUGUCAGAGCUGCAUGGACAAGCGUUGGCAGCUCACGCUUGAACUGCAACACGAAACCCAACAGUCGGGCUCUCUUGAAGUACGACGCGUAGCGCUCGUCAUAGUCCAUAUUCGCGGCAACCCCGUGACCCCUCAUGCGCAGUGGCGGGAGCAUCUGUCAAAAAGUGGACGCCAAGAGUUACAAACUUGUUUUCAUCAAUCCAAAAACUUUGAUCAAUGUUUCCUCCAUAUUGCUUACCACUCCGUUCUCUAUGAAACGGGCACGAUGACCCUUGUUGAAUGCAUAGUCAAGCAUGGAGUACCGUGGGCCGACGUUGUCCGCAAGAGGUGCCCGCCUUAAUAAAUUUCAUAAACAAAAGCAUCAUAAGCAUACAUAAACAAAACAUAAAAUUUCUUGGUUAAAUGAACUAGGGUUCAUCUUAAGCAUAUUCUGUUGGAAAUAUGAGCAAUUUACCGAAUGAUUUUAUUAACAAAAAUACUAGAUAAAGCAUGAAUAUAAUAGCAAAUAUAAAGCAAGUCAUGCAAUCUAACAAAGAGAAGGUAAACAUCAUCUGCAUAUAUGAACUUGAGGUAAACACAUCUAGAACAGACACUAGAUGAAGUUGCUUAUACGACAUAGAACCUAACAUACGUAGGGCAGAAACUAGAGCAAAGAACUGUAGCAGGACUUCUAACAGAAAGGAGAAUAACACGUACGGCACAGCAGUAGCAGAAGCACUGGACUUGGGGUCGGUGUCCUCGCCUGCCAUGUCGUUGAGGAGGUCGUGGACGUCGGGGAAGAAGUCGUCGUCGGGGAAGUAGUCGUCAGCGACCGGAUCGUCCGUGAUGAAGCAGCCAGUAGUCGCGUUGAGCGCUCCCCAAAAACCUUAUCACCCUUCUCCCAUACAAGACUCAAAAGGUGCGGUCUCGGAGGCCUAUUGUCCCGACGUGCAGUGCACGCCACAAGCCGGGAUGAGGAAGACAACAGUAGCACAGAGAUUGGAACUGUGUGGCGAGAGGAAGAGGACCUUCUUAUGUGUGUCUCGGGAGAGGAGCGACCUCUCUUAUAUAGGCACAAGAGAGGGACGCGAACAGGCUGCGCCGGGAGGUGAAGCAACAGAGGGAGACGAAGUGAACAGACAACAAGCGAAGAGGUGCGCCGUUCGUAUUCAUUAUCCACUACCGCAAAAACUUUUCAGCUCCCAGGUGACCUUUCGUAUACCCGUAGUGCGUGGCAAAAAUUAGACAUCGUCUCAUUCUCGCAACCCGCGGCGCGGCGCGUCGUGACGAGGCGAGGCAUGGCAUGGCGAGGCGGGCGGCGGAGGAGGAGCGUGUGUGGAUGUCCCUCUUGUUCUUAUGCUCAUACAAGUGGGGAAGGAGCCUCCCUUAUAAAGAGGUCCAACUCCCUCUAAACUAGCAAUGUGGGACUAAACUUUAGUUCCACCUCUUGCCUUGCACUAAUGGGCUGCGUGGGACUCUAGGAUUUAUUAGGAAUUUCUGAAACUGCUAUUGGGCUAGGCCCAAAUAGACAAAAAUUCCAGCAAUCCCCCACCAGAUCCGAGAGGCACACAAAAUUUGCCUUUGGUUCCAAAACACUGUUUUAUAUACCGGUACUGCAGUGGAGACUGUUAAGUUGAACUUCCACCUAGAACUCUAUGCUACACUAGUACGUAACUUGAACAUUGGACUGGGCCUUGAACUGCAAGUUUUCUGCGAAUCUAGCUUCACAUAAAGCCUUGACCGAUACGUGGCUACCGUGGGUCUUCCCCGCGGGUGGAGCUUAUGCGUCAUACUCUGUGACCUUUCAUGAGUUUACUAGAGAGAACCCUACUCUCAUAGAUUGCGAGGUUUAACAAUCAGACUCAUAUAGGUGCGUUCUUCAAAAGAUGUUCUGCAGGACAACAUCUCUGCUUCAAAAAGCCACUUAGAACACAUUAAGAUAUACAUCAACCUGCCAUGCAGAUUAGGAGAGUAUUGCAUCUUCAUGGAAUGGUAUUUUUAACAGUACGGAUACUCUCCUCCCAGUUGACCGACAGCUUGUCUUCCACAUCUAAUUCACGGGAUCUCCGAUCACAAAGAAUAGGUUACCACUGUGAACAACUCAUAUUGUGGGUCUCAUUCCCAUCUCCCCCGAUGCAUUAUCUAUCACAUUACGUGAUAGACCCUUAGUAAAAGGAUCUGCCAGAUUUUUAGACGUUUGGAUAUAAUCCAAUGCAAUAAAUCCGGAGUUUUUCAUUUUUCUGACAGACUUUAACCUUCUCUGAACAUGUCUUGAUGACUUCAUGUUAUCCUUUGAGCUGAUCACUUUAGUGAUCACAGUUUGAUUGUCAAAGUUCAUAAGGAUACCCGGUACAGGUUUCUCAACUACCGGCAAGUCAUUCAAGAGCCGACGAAGCCAAUCUGCUUCGACCGUAGCUGUAUCUAGUGCUGUGAGUUCUGCUUCCAUUGUUGACCUUGUUAAGAUGGUCUGCUUGCAAGACUUCCAAGAAACAGCGCCACCUCCAUGAGUGAAUACAUAACCGCUCGUGGCCUUUAUCUCAUCAGCAUCUGAGAUCCAGUUUGAGUCACUAUACCCUUCAAGCACCUUUGGGUGCCCAGUGUAGUGAAUUCCAUAAUUCAUAGUGCCUUUUAAAUAACGCAAAACUCUCUCUAGAGCUUUCCAAUGCACAUCUCCUGGUUUUGAAACAAACCGACUCAGUUUGCUAACAGCAAAAGAGAUGUCAGGUCUUGUAGCACUGGCUAAGUACAUAAGCGAGCCAAUAAUCUGAGAAUACUUCAAUUGAUAUCUAGCAAUUCUUCGAUUCUUUUGAAGCAGCACGCUAGCAUCAUAUGGUGUUGGAGAGGGCUUGCAGUCACUAUAGCCAAAGCGACUCAAGAUCUUUUCCACAUAGUGAGAUUGAAGCAAUGUAAUCCCACCAUCAUCAUCUCUCAACAACUUGAUGUUCAGAAUGACAUCAGUCACUCCUAAAUCCUUCAUCUCAAAACAGCGAGAUAGGAAAUCCUUGACCUCCUUAAUAACAUUCAGAUUUGUUCCGAAAAUCAGUAUGUCAUCAACAUACAAGCAAAGCAUAACUCCCUCGCCCCCACCAUGGCGAUAGUACACACAUUUGUCAGCUUUGUUCACAACAAAGCCUGCAGCUGUAAGUUCUUUUGAACUUCUCAUGCCACUGUUUGGGUGCUUGCUUGAGUCCAUACAAAGACUUCAGCAACUUGCACACUUUCCCUUCCUGACCAUCUAUUACAAACCCAUCUGGUUGUUUCAUAUAAAUUUUCUCAUCCAACUCUCCAUUUAGGAAAGCAGUCUUAACAUCCAUUUGAUGAACAAGAAGAUCAUGUGAGCCAACUAGUGAAAGUAGAACUCGAAUAGUGGUCAGUCGAGCCACAGGUGAGUAAGUAUCAAAGAAGUCUUCACCUUCCUUUUGGGUAUAACCCUUUGCCACGAGCCGAGCCUUGUACUUUUCAAUAGUACCAUCAGGUCUAGGCUUCUUCUUGAAUAGCCAUUUGCAUCCUAUAGGUUUGCACCCAUAAGGACGAUCAGUUAUCUCCCAAGUUUCAUUCGCCAAGAUGGAAUCCAUCUCGCUACGAACCGCUUCCUUCCAGUAGUCAGCAUCUUCCGAUGCAUAGGCCUUUGAAAUGGAACUGGGAGUGUCAUCUAUGAAAUACACAAGAAAAUCAUCACCAAAGGACUUUGUAGUCCUCUGUCUCUUGCUCCUAGUAGGAACUUCAUUGUUUUCCUCCACAGGACUUCCAAAGUUUUCCAUCGAAAUGGCAGGUUCGGUAAUUGUAACUGGUUCCUGAUUCGAUGAACUAGGCAUCUCCUGAUUAGAUGAGGUAGCCAUAUCCUUCAUGGGAAAGAUAUCUUCAAAGAAAGUCGCAUCAUUCGACUCCAUGAUCGUACCGACAUGCAUGUCAGGUACCUCAGAUUUUACAACCAAGAAUCUAUAGCCAAUGCUAUGAAAAGCAUAUCCCAGGAAAACACAAUCCACAGUUUUUGGUCCCAGCUUCCGCUUCUUUGGAAUUGGCACAUUGACUUUCGCCAAACAACCCCAGGUUCGUAGAUAAAAGAGCUUUAACCUUUUCUUCUCCCAUUCCUCGAAUGGAGUUAUCUCUUUGUUCUUUGGGAACUCGGUUUAGGACAUGACAUGCAGUCAAUAUCGCCUCCCCCCACCAUGCCUUGGAGAGACCCGAUGUGUCUAACAUGGCGUUAACCAAAUCAGUUAGAGUAUGGUUCUUUCUUUCGGCCACCCCAUUUGACUGAGGUGAGUAGGGAGGCGUCCUCUCAUGGAUUAUACCAUGUUCUGCAUAAAAAGCAUCAAAUUCAUUGGAAAAAUACUCUCCACCACGGUCGGACCUAAGCCUCUUGAUUUUUCGAUCAAGUUGGUUUUCCACUUCAGCUUUAUAGAUCUUGAAAAAGUUCAAAGCCUCAUCCUUAGAUUUCAGAAGAUACACAUGGCAGUAUCUAGUGGAUUCGUCAAUUAACAUCAUGAAAUAUUUCUUUCCACCUUUUGUCAAAACACCAUUCAUUUCACAUAGAUCUGAAUGUAUAAGUUCUAGUGGUGCAAGAUUUCUCGUCUCCGCAGUCAUGUGAGACUUACGAGGUUGCUUAGCUUGCACACACACUUGACACUUAGAUCCCUUGACAGUGAUGAAACUAGGGAUUAAGUUCAACUUCGCUAGUCGCGACAUGCAACCAAAGUUAACAUGACAAAGACGUGAAUGGCACACAUUUGAUUCACUAUUGUUGCAAAUAUGAUUAACAACUUUAUUGCAAACGUCUGAUAAGGAUAAAUGAAACAGGCCUCCUGACUCAUAGCCUUUACCAACAAAGGUUCCAUACUUGGAUAUUACAAAUUUAUUCGACUCAAAGACAAGCUUAUAGCCAUCUCUACACAGAAGAGAUCCGCUAACAAGAUUUUUAUUGACGGAGGGGACAUAAUGCACGUUCUUCAGCCGCAGGAUCUUCCCCGAAGUAAACUUCAGAUCGACCGUGCCAACACCACGAACAGAAGCACUUGAACCAUUGCCCAUUAGCACGGUUGAAGUCCCUGCGGUCUGAUAAGACGAAAGCAUGGAAAUAUCACCGCAUACAUGCACAUUAGCACCCGUGUCAAUCAACCAAUCAGAAGAAUGACAUACUGAAAGAAUAGUGGGAAAUAUACCAUACCCAGCAUCCUUCAUGUCGGUGUCUCUAAUGACAACAUUAGCGGUCUUGCCGCCUUUCCCAGGAUGACGCUUGUCAUAGCUAUUAGGACAACUAGGAGCCCAAUGAUCAGGAUCUCCACACACAUGACAAGCACCUUUCUUCUUGUCACUCUUCUUCUUGAAGUUCGUGUGUUGUACAGCCUUGUUCUUCCCAUCAAACUUUGCUUUACCAUCAAGCUUGCCCUUGUUCUUGAACUUGUGGGACUGGAAGUUUUUCUUCUGUACCAGAUUGGCACUAGAUCCUCCCUCAAUACCUCGAGCACGUGUGUCCUUUGCUCUCGCCUUUUCUUCCACAUCAAGAGUACCAAUGAGAUCCGGAAUGGAAAACUCCUGUCUCUUAUGCUUCAGUAAGGUAGCAAAGUUCCUCCAUGAAGGAGGAAGCUUAGUGAUGAUACCCCCGGCAACAAACUUGUCCGGUAGCAUGCAAUUGAAGUGCUCAAGUUCUCUAGCAAAUGACUAUAUCUCAUGAGCCUGCUCAACCACGGAGCGCUCUUCAGUCAUUCUGUAAUCAUAGAAUUGCUCCAUGAUGUACAGCUCAGUGCCGGCAUCCGAGACCCCAAACUUGGCCUCGAGUGCGUCCCACAUAUCUUUUCCAUUGUUAAUUGACGCAUAAGCAUCAACUAUGUUCUCACCAAGAACACUCAAGAGAGCAGCCUUAAACAAGGUAUCCAUUUUCUGAAAAGCUUGCGCCUGUUGGGCAUCUUGCUCUCCUUCAGGUUUGCCAAGAGUGGCGUCAUAGCAGCUCAUGGUCUGAAACCAUAAGACUGCUCUCACGCGCCACCUCUUAUAGUGGAUACCCUCAAACAUAGGAGGUCUCAUGGAAGCAGCAAAACCACUCGGGGUAAAUUGCCUAUGAUAAGGUUUUUGGAUUGUUGGAAAUAUGAGCAAUUUACCGAAUAAUUUUAUUAACAAAAAUACUAGAUAAAGCAUGAAUAAAAUAGCAAAUAUAAAGCAAGUCAUGCAAUCUGACAGAGAGAAGGUAAACAUCGUCUGCAUAUAUGAACUUGAGGUAAACACAUCUAGAACAGACACUAGAUGAAGUUGCUUAUACGACAUAGAACCUAACAUACGUAGGGCAGAAACUAGAGCAAAGAACUGUAGCAGGACUUCUAACAGAAAGGAGAAGAACACGUACGGCACAGCAGCAGCAGAAGCACUGGACUUGGGGUCGGUGUCCUCGCCUGCCAUGUCGUUGAGGAGGUCGUGGACGUCGGGGAAGAAGUCGUCGUCGGGGAAGUAGUCGUCGGUGACCGGAUCGUCCGUGGUGAAGCAGCCAGUAGUCGCGCUGAGCGCUUCCCAAAAACCUUAUCACCCUUCUCCCAUACAGGACUCAAAAGGUGCGGUCUCGAAGGCCUACUGUCCCGACAUGCGGUGCACGCCGCAAGCCGGGAUGAGGAAGACAGCAGUAGCGCAGAGAUUGGAACUGUGUGGCGAGAGGAAGAGGACCUUCUGAUGUGUGUCUCGGGAGAGGAGCGACCUCUCUUAUAUAGGCACAUGAGAGGGACGUGAACAGGCUGCGCCGGGAGGUGAAGCAACAGAGGGAGACGAAGUGAACAGACAACACGCGAAGAGGUGCACCAUUCGUAUUCUACCGCAAAAACUUUUCAGCUCCCAGGUGACCUUCCGUAUACCCGUAGUGCGUGGCAAAAAUUACACAUCGGCUCGGCUCAUUCCCGCAACCCGCGACGCGGCGCGUCGUGACGAGGCGAGGCGGGCGGCGGAGGAGGAGCGCGCGUGGAUGUCCCUCUUGUUCUUAUGCUCAUACAAGUGGGGAAGGAGCCUCCCUUAUAAAGAGGUCCAACUCCCUUUAAAGUAGCAAUGUGGGACUAAACUUUAGUUCCACCUCUUGCCUGGCACUAAUGGGCUGCGUGGGCCUCUAGGAUUUAUUAGGAAUUUCUGAAACUGCUAUUGGGCUAGGCCCAAAUAGACAAAAAUUCCAGCAUAUUCCUCCAACAACAUCUACUACACAUAAUGGAUCACAUCAUAUCAACAUGCAUCAUAUCAAAAUAAAAUCCUCCAACAUGCAUCAUAUCAUCAAUUAUUUUAACAACUUUUUUUAAAUAGAGUUCAUCUUGAAUGUAUUUUCUCCAAACAACAUCUUCAUAUCAUCAUAUCAACAUGCAUCAUAAAACAAAGCAAGUCCUCCCACAUCCAUUACAUCAUACUUUUUUUAACAAAAAAAUAUAUGAACUAGGGUUCAUCUUCACACUAACAUAUGAACUAUUGAUUAGAGUUCAUAUUCAAUAUCACUAGUUACUAAAGAAGUAAGAACUAGAACUACAAUCAACCUAAAGCAACACUAGGUGAAAAAAAUUCCAAUCAAAGUUCAAAAGGAUGAGGGAUUUCAAGCAAAUAAUGCGUCGAAUCGGAAGCAAGUUUGCAAAAACUACUUGGAGGGAUUGUAGGAGAUUACGUUUCUUUCUUCGGGGCCAUCUCAAUCCGCAAAAACGAUGAAGAAACGGUGAAGAUCCGAGGGGGAGAGUGGAGGAGAUGAGAGAGGGAGAGAGGGGCGAGGGGGAGGAAGAGGAACUACCAGUGGGGGAGGGGGAGGGGUGGGAAGAAAAGGCAGGGGCGGGGGGGCGGGCAAAAUAACUGCUCGCACCCUACCGCCAGGGGUGCUGGCGGUAGGCUUAUACAGCCUACCGUCAGGGACCCUGGCGGUAGGGUGCGACGGAGUGGGGCGGCGGCCAUUUCCGCGUGCUGACGUGGAUUAGUAUCCUACCGCCAGGGACCCUGUCGGUAGGUUGUCUAACCCUACCGCCAGCUACCCUGGUGGUAAGAAAAAGGGUCAAAUGCCGAAUUUUUGUAAAUCGGGAUCAGAUCCUGAAUUUGUAUACGAUAAGGGUCAAAACAUGAAUUUUUGCCAACAUGCGUCGGUUCAGCGAGCGAAACAAAUCGGCGGACAGAAAGCAGUCACGGCGUGUCAUCAUCAGUAAAUAAAACAUAUAUAACCGGUCAAAUUCGAACUAGAAUGCUCCAACAUGUCAACAGACAAAUCAAGCCGAUCCUAUAAACCCAGUACGGGCGCAGACACACAUGCGGGCCCGUCGACGUGUACGCGACCCACCCACCAGCCAAAAGAUUCCGGGGCAGGGGGGGCAGUCGUAAGCGCUGACGAUUCCUAGUAGUAUCUCGUCCGGGAGGAAGAAGGAUCCGUCGCGAUCAGAUGACGAGCGUGCCGAUGCCGGUGCUGCUACAACGAUGUAAGAACAAAUUAAGCCGAUCCUAGUAGAAAAAAAACAAUAGCAGCAGGAUGGAACUGGUGUGGUAGUUGGAUGUGGUGAAACAUUCGACGCACCAAAGGAUAGGUCAUGUGAUGAAUCUUCCUUUCCCCGGAUGGAAAUGGCUUAUCAAUCUUACAGGGAAGGAACGGGAGCAGACCUGUUCCGGUCGCCGAGGGUUUCUAGAUUUGUCCAGCUCUACGUGGCGAAACCAACCGUGUGUGUGUGAGUUGCUGGUUCAGAGAGGGAAAAUGGAUAUGCGUCUUGGGUUGAAAACUUCCUUGUCAACCCUCCCCUCCUUGUGUGCACAAAAGGGGGAACCUCACUCAUCAUGUCCCAGUCAAAACGAGAAGCAGAAAAAAAAAAGGCAAGUCAGCGGCCCGCUCCCGUUCUUCCUUUCGACCAGAAGGAGCCUUCGGACUUGAGACUUGGUGCCGUGCAUUCAUGCGUGAGUGACACCACACGCCGAGUGGAGAGAAAUCUCCCUACUGGUUUCGCAUAUACAACCAUCUUUGACCUAAGUGUCCACGUUCCCCAGAAUGAGACAAGUCGUGGCGAUGAGGAUUACUUAUAUAAAUUUCUCAUAACCCAACAGCCAAACAGCCCAACUGGAAAAAUAAACCCCUGAAAAUCAUGCUCUAGUGACAAUAAAAUAAAACAGACAGGCUUCGAGACCAAGGUUCUGCAGCCAGCAUCGGCUUGAAAUUACUUGAGAACAAUCACAAACUAGCUGUGCUAUUACAAGUUUACAACUCUUGCCUCUAAAAAUAGGAAUGCUUAGUUCUUGUUAACACUGAAGGAGGUCCACAGCCAGAACGAUGCUAGCAACAAGCGUUAGACAAAAUGAAUCUGGUGCCAAGCAAUUGACUACAUAGAUAGUCACUCAAGCUCCACUAGUACAAUUGCCUGGAAAAUUAAUUACAAGUUUUUCUUUUCUCACUAGACAGGAGAUACAAGAGGCGCCCACCCGCAUUUCACGGCCGAUCAAGAUCAAGUCACCUCUAGCGCCGGCCUCGGGCCUUUGACCUCCCUUU
rnacentral:lncRNA from 1 species